rnacentral:rRNA from 1 species
GAUGAACGCUGGCGGCGUGCCUAAUACAUGCAAGUCGAGCGAACAGACGAGGAGCUUGCUCCUCUGACGUUAGCGGCGGACGGGUGAGUAACACGUGGAUAACCUACCUAUAAGACUGGGAUAACUUCGGGAAACCGGAGCUAAUACCGGAUAACAUGUUGAACCGCAUGGUUCAACAGUGAAAGACGGUCUUGCUGUCACUUAUAGAUGGAUCCGCGCCGCAUUAGCUAGUUGGUAAGGUAACGGCUUACCAAGGCAACGAUGCGUAGCCGACCUGAGAGGGUGAUCGGCCACACUGGAACUGAGACACGGUCCAGACGACUACGGGAGGCAGCAGUAGGGAACCUUACGCAAUGGGCGAAAGCCUGACGGAGCAACGCCGCGUGAGUGAAGAAGGUCUUCGGAUCGUAAAACUCUGUUAUUAGGGAAGAACAAAUGUGUAAGUAACUAUGCACGUCUUGACGGUACCUAAUCAGAAAGCCACGGCUAACUACGUG